rnacentral:rRNA from 1 species
CAAUAGCGUAUAUUAAAAUUGUUGCGGUUAAAAAGCUCGCACUUGGAUUUCUGCCGAGGACGACCUGUCCGCCCUCUGGGUGAGUAUCUGGCUCGGCCUGGGCAUCUUCUUGGAGAACGUAGCUGCACUUGACUGUGUGGUGCGGUAUCCAGGCUUUUUUACUUUGAGGAAAUUAAAGUGUCUCAAGCAGGCUUACGCCUUGAAUACAUUAGCAUGGAAUAAUAAGAUAGGACUUCGGUUCUAUGUUGUUGGCUUCUAGAACUGAGGUAAUGAUUAAUAGGGGUAAUUGGGGGCAUUCGUACUUAAUUGUCAGAGGUGAAAUUCUUGGAUUUGUUAAUCACGGACUACUGCGAAAGCAUUUGCCAAGGAUGUUUUCAUUCA